rnacentral:rRNA from 1 species
AUUGAACGCUGGCGGCAGGCCUAACACAUGCAAGUCGAACGAGUGGCGGACGGGUGAGUAAUGUCUGGGAAACUGCCCGAUGGAGGGGGAUAACUACUGGAAACGGUAGCUAAUACCGCAUACCAUCGGAUGUGCCCAGAUGGGAUUAGCUAGUAGGUGGGGUAACGGCUCAUCUAGGCGACGAUCCCUAGCUGGUCUGAGAGGGUGACCGGCCACACUGGGACUGAGACACGGUCCAGACUCCUACGGGAGGCAGCAGUAGGGAAUAUUGCACAAUGGGCGCAAGCCUGAUGGAGCCAUGCCGCGUGUAUGAAGAAGGCCUUCGGGUUGUAAAGUACUUUCAGCGGGGAGGCGGUACUCGCAGAAGAAGCCCCGGCUAACUCCGUGCCAGCAGCCGCGGUAAUAC